rnacentral:rRNA from 1 species
UACAGAGGGUGCGAGCGUUAAUCGGAAUUAUUGGGCGUAAAGCGCAUGUAGGUGGUUUAAUAAGUUUGAUGUGAAAUCCCCGGGCUUAACCUGGGAAUGGCGUUGAAUACUGUUAGACUAGAGUCGGACAGAGGGUAGUGGAAUUUCCGGUGUAGCGGUGAAAUGCGUAGAGAUCGGAAAGAACACCAGUGGCGAAGGCGGCUACCUGGGUCCAGACUGACACUGAGGUGCGAAAGCGUGGGGAGCAAACAGG